rnacentral:rRNA from 1 species
GAGUUUGAUCCUGGCUCAGGACGAACGCUGGCGGCGUGCUUUACACAUGCAAGUCGAGCGAUGAGAUCCCUUCGGGGAAGGAUUAGCGGCGAACGGGUGAGGAACACGUGAGGAAUCUGCCUUCAACACUGGGAUAACUCCGGGAAACCGGGGCUAAUACCGGAUACGAGACCUGCAGGCAUCUGCGGGUCUGGAAAGUUUUUCGGUUGAAGAUGACCUCGCGGCCUAUCAGCUUGUUGGUGAGGUAAUGGCUCACCAAGGCGACGACGGGUAGCCGGCCUGAGAGGGCGACCGGCCACACUGGGACUGAGACACGGCCCAGACUCCUACGGGAGGCAGCAGUGGGGAAUAUUGGGCAAUGGAGGAAACUCUGACCCAGCGACGCCGCGUGCGGGAUGAAGGCCUUCGGGUUGUAAACCGCUUUCAGUAGGGAAGAAGCGAAAGUGACGGUACCUACAAAAGAAGCACCGGCUAACUAUGUGCCAGCAGCCGCGGUAAUACAUAGGGUGCAAGCGUUGUCCGGAAUUAUUGGGCGUAAAGAGCUCGUAGGUCGUUUGCCACGUCGGAUGUGAAAACCUGAGGCUUAACCCCAGGCCUGCAUUCGAUACGAGCAAACUAGAGUUUGGUAGGGGAGACUGGAAUUCCUGGUGUAGCGGUGGAAUGCGCAGAUAUCAGGAGGAACACCAACGGCGAAGGCAGGUCUCUGGGCCAAUACUGACACUGAGGAGCGAAAGUCUGGGGAGCGAACAGGAUUAGAUACCCUGGUAGUCCAGACCGUAAACGGUGGGCACUAGUUGUGGGAACCUUCCACGGUUUCUGCGACGCAGCUAACGCAUUAAGUGCCCCGCCUGGGGAGUACGAUCGCAAGAUUAAAACUCAAAGGAAUUGACGGGGCCCCGCACAAGCAGCGGAGCAUGCGGCUCAAUUCGACGCAACGCGAAGAACCUUACCAAGGCUUGACAUAUAGGGAAAAGUGGCAGAGAUGCCAUGUCCGCAAGGGCCCUAUACAGGUGGUGCAUGGUUGUCGUCAGCUCGUGUCGUGAGAUGUUGGGUUAAGUCCCGCAACGAGCGCAACCCAA